AGAGUUUGAUCAUGGCUCAGAUUGAACGCUGGCGGAAUGCUUUACACAUGCAAGUCGAACGGCAGCGACGGGGCAACCUGGUGGCGAGUGGCGAACGGUGAGUAAUACAUCGGAACGUGCCCAAUCGUGGGGGAUAACGUAGCGAAAGUUACGCUAAUACCGCAUACGAUCUACGGAUGAAAGCGGGGGAUCGCAAGACCUCGCGCGAAUGGAGCGGCCGAUGUCAGAUUAGGUAGUUGGUGGGGUAAAGGCUCACCAAGCCAACGAUCUGUAGCUGGUCUGAGAGGACGACCAGCCACACUGGAACUGAGACACGGUCCAGACUCCUACGGGAGGCAGCAGUGGGGAAUUUUGGACAAUGGGCGCAAGCCUGAUCCAGCCAUUCCGCGUGCAGGAUGAAGGCCUUCGGGUUGUAAACUGCUUUUGUACGGAACGAAACGGCGAGCUCUAAUACAGUUUGCUAAUGACGGUACCGUAAGAAUAAGCACCGGCUAACUACGUG
rnacentral:rRNA from 1 species